rnacentral:sRNA from 1 species
GCCGGGCGUGGUGGCGGGCGCCUGUAAUCCCAGCUACUUGGGAGGCAGAGGCAGGAGAAUCGCUUGAACCCGGGAGGCAGAGGUUGCAGUGAGCCAAGAUCACGCCACUGCACCAGCCUGGGUGACAGAGCGAGACUCAGUCUCAA